AAGGAACUCGGCAAAUUAGCACCGUAACUUCGGGAGAAGGUGCGCCGGUGAGGGUGAAGGACUUGCUCCGUAAGCUCAUGCCGGUCGAAGAUACCAGGCCGCUGCGACUGUUUAUUAAAAACACAGCACUCUGCAAACACGAAAGUGGACGUAUAGGGUGUGACGCCUGCCCGGUGCCGGAAGGUUAAUUGAUGGGGUUAGC
rnacentral:rRNA from 13 species